rnacentral:rRNA from 1 species
AUACGGAGGGUGCGAGCGUUAAUCGGAAUUACUGGGCGUAAAGCGCGCGUAGGCGGUUUGGUAAGUCGGAUGUGAAAUCCCAGGGCUCAACCUUGGAACUGCAUUCGAUACUGCCUCACUAGAGUAUGGUAGAGGGAAGUGGAAUUCCGGGUGUAGCGGUGAAAUGCGUAGAUAUCCGGAGGAACAUCAGUGGCGAAGGCGACUUCCUGGCCCAAUACUGACGCUGAGGUGCGAAAGCGUGGGGAGCAAACAGGAUUAGAUACCCCGGUAGUCC